rnacentral:rRNA from 1 species
UACGAAGGGGGCUAGCGUUGCUCGGAAUCAUUGGGCGUAAAGGGCAGGUAGGUGGUCUCGUUUGUCUGGGGUGAAAGCCCGGAGCUCAACUCCGGAACUGCCAUUGAAACUGUUUAGCUUGAGGAUGAGAGAGGUGAGUGGAAUUCCCAGUGUAGAGGUGAAAUUCGUAGAUAUUGGGAAGAACACCGGUGGCGAAGGCGGCUCACUGGCUCAUUACUGACGCUCAGGCGCGAUAGCGUGGGGAUCAAACAGG